GGUCAUUAAGAAAUCUUUUGUAGCUCUUUCCCUCCUGCCACCGAUAGCGCGGAGGCAGAGGCUUAGGUGAGGUCAAAAUUCAACUUCACCCGUAACCCACUGCCAUGGCCGAGGGAGGCAUCGCUGCUGGAGGUGUAAUGGGCAUUAACACGGCUUUACAAGAGGUGCUGAAGACCGCCCUCAUCCAUGAUGGCCUUGCAUGUGGAAUCCACGAAGCUGCCAAAGCCUUAGACAAGUGCCAAGCCCAUCUUUGUGUGCUUUGCAUCCAACUGUGAUGAGCCUAUGUAAGUCAAGUUGGUGGAGGCCCUUUGUGCUGAACACCAAAUCAACCUAAUUAAGGUUGAUGACAACAAGAAACUAGAGGAAUGGGUAGGCCUUUGUAAAAUUGACAGAGAGGGGAAACCCCGUAAAGUGGUUGGCUGCAGUUGUGUAGUAGGCAAGGAUUAUGGCAAAGAAUCUCUGGCCAAGGAUGUCAUUGAAGUGUACUUCGAAUGCAAGAAAUGAACAAAAAAAACUUUGGUUCA